UUGUUGUGCCGGUGCCCGGUCUACAAAAUGCGCACAUACCUCGUGAUUGGGAACCAGCGACAAAUCGGUAUAGUGCAUGCUGGGCAGCACGAGUUUGUACGGUCUCUUGUGCACGGGUGAUUGAUGCGAGUGGACGUCUUUUCCCAAGUUGAGUAUUGCUUGGAGUAAUUGUGAGCCUGAGUGAGUAAUUGUGAGCCUGAGUAUAGACUAUAUUGUAUUAUAUUGUACUAUAUUGUAUUUUAUGUGUGUUCAACACGUAUUUACCUGGAAGGCCAUUCCCAGAAGAUAUAAGUGAGUCUGUGACUGUGCAUGUGAGUCUGUGAGUUGCCUGUGAUUGUGUCAAUGACACGCAUUUCCCUGGAGGUGUAUUUCCAGAAGUAUAUGUGUAUGUAAGCCGGUGACUGUGUGUUUAAGUACGUAUUUGCCUGGAGGUGUAUUCCCAGAAGUACAUGUAUAGUGCCAUUUUGUGACGUGCAACCGACGAGUAUAGCCGACGAGUUCCCUCGAAGACGACGAGGACGAUUGGUGCCAUCCUGACGAGCAUUCCAGUUGAUGCCCAUGCGCUGCGCCAAAAGAGAGGUCGGACGAAAGCUAUACCUGACUUAGGGGAGUUGGGUCAAGGUGCUUACGCAAGGGGCACUAUUACUUCAUCGGUAGCGCCGGUACGAUUCCUUCGCUGUGUGGCGUCGUCCCAAAAGGACAAAAGUGGGAGGAGUGUUGUGCCGGUGCCCGGUCUACAAAAUGCGCACAUACCUCGUGAUUGGGAACCAGCGACAAAUCGGUAUAGUGCAUGCUGGGCAGCACGAGUUUGUACGGUCUCUUGUGCACGGGUGAUUGAUGCGAGUGGACGUCUUUUCCCAAGUUGAGUAUUGCUUGGAGUAAUUGUGAGCCUGAGUGAGUAAUUGUGAGCCUGAGUAUAGACUAUAUUGUAUUAUAUUGUACUAUAUUGUAUUUUAUGUGUGUUCAACACGUAUUUACCUGGAAGGCCAUUCCCAGAAGAUAUAAGUGAGUCUGUGACUGUGCAUGUGAGUCUGUGAGUUGCCUGUGAUUGUGUCAAUGACACGCAUUUCCCUGGAGGUGUAUUUCCAGAAGUAUAUGUGUAUGUAAGCCGGUGACUGUGUGUUUAAGUACGUAUUUGCCUGGAGGUGUAUUCCCAGAAGUACAUGUAUAGUGCCAUUUUGUGACGUGCAACCGACGAGUAUAGCCGACGAGUUCCCUCGAAGACGACGAGGACGAUUGGUGCCAUCCUGACGAGCAUUCCAGUUGAUGCCCAUAGUCUGCCAACCAAGGUCCUGCUGCAUGGAGGUGACACUGUCGUACGGGGAAUAGUUAUGCUUGACCCAGCGGACUGCUCGACGCUGUACAUUUCAUAUAUUAAUAUUACGUGGACUGAGGGAUCAAAUGGGUUGGUCAUGAACUGAUCAAGUAAUUGGUAAUAAAGAAUUACAAGAAAGUGAAUGCUUUUCAUUCAGAAUUUCAGUCCAGCACAAAUGAACUUUACGCUGCACAGACACGGUCAUGCAUCUGUUUCUACAUGGGUUCCGAUUGAGCGUUAUAAGUGAUUUUGUCCAAUAAAAAUAAUUAAAAAAUAAUGAGAACUACUUCAAACCAUAGUAUUGACUAAUCCUAUAAAUGUACAAACCAAUCUAUCAAAUGUACAACAAUUUAUCCAACAUCAGGAUCGACGCUUGAUGGGUGUGUCGG